rnacentral:lncRNA from 1 species
GCUGGCUCAGGUGCGGCCUGUGUGGGAGGACUCGUGUCUCGGUGGUUACAGAGAAGCUGGCUUCCACGGUGUGAACCCGACUGAAUCACAGGCCGCUUUUUUGUUCUCCCUCGGCCUUGGAGGGCCUGGGACGUUCCUGUUGCCCAACAUCCUGGUGAGCUGAGAACAUUCUGUAGAUUAAUUAGGUUCUCUCCUCUGGCUCAGCAGGUCUGUUCUAGCCAUUUGACCAAAGGCUCUCUGAUAUUUUCUACCAGCCUUAGAACGACAGUCUGCAGAUGUGUGCACAUAAAUGUCUGGGAGGAGCACACAGAUACUGUGGGAGGAGUGGGUCCGGCGUAGCUAUUGGGAGAUCUCGCUCGUACACAUGGCGCUACAUAGAAAGAAUGCCCUGAGGUGAAGGUGACAGCUCGGCAGUUUCUUAAUACCCUGAACUUGAGCGUGGCCUGCGCUAGAGAAAAUACACGGUGCUUCUUAAAAACAAAAGCCAGCAGCCUGCAAGAGGGCUGUGCCUGCGAGUUCCUGGGAGCAGGAGGGGGCUGUUCCUCCGCCCCUGGCUCCAGUUUCACCCAAGUCACUUCACAGCAGUUGGAAGGAGGUCACCAAUUAAUAACAGAGUACACCAGUCAUCAUAAGAAGAAAAAUUCACAUUUAAAGUUUGGAAAGCAACAGGACAAAGGUCUGUCUUCAGUGGUGCGUAGACAUGCUCGUGAUUGAAUUGGAAAUAGUUCUCUUUCCUUCUCUCUGACUUCCUAACUGAAAAGCUGCAGCGUGGGGAGAAAGGCUGCUCAGAAGCCUGGAGCCAGAACACGCACCCCGGCUUUUGCAGGGCCGGCUCACUUGGUUAGAAUCAAAGGAAAAGCCUUGUUAUUUGGGAAGCUGGGCGUCCUCACCAAAUUAGGGGAUUUAAUUUGCAGAUAUCUAAGGAGUGCUUUGAAAUGAAAGAUGAACUAAAAUCUGCUCUGAGGCCCGUGAUUUUUCACCAGUGAAGGACUCUCUUGCUGCUGGACAUACAUGAAAAGCAUCAUCUGAUCUGAAACGCAAGUCCCUGCAAGACAGAGGAGAGACUUUAUAAACAUUUUAUACCAUUCUAUGAAAUCAAUUCGAUUCAGGGCUAGAAUUCAAGAAGUAAUCCAUGGGCAAGUAUAUCUGAUGGUAAACCCAAACGAUUAUAUUGUUAACCUCUUGUACUUUUUUUAAUUUUUUAUUAUUUGAUAUUAUUAUCACAAAAGUCGCUGGAACAGGAUCCAUGAGCUGCUUCUUCACUGCUUAGUGUUUUCAGAAGCUGAUGGAUUAUUAAGCUCCAAUUGAAUACUUGAUUUCCAAUGAUUCCAUUAAUUUUUCUGGUUUGUGGUAGGAUUUGAUUUACUUAUUUUGUACUUUAACACACCAAUAAAAAAUAGAUACUAAGAAAUAGUGAAAUUUGUUGCUUCAAAAUAACCCUUAAAAUUUAGAGUUUAGUGAAAUUAAGCAAUUCAAAUAGAGAAACGAUUAUCCUUCAUUUCCUUAAGGCACAGAAAUUGAGACUAGGUUCAAGAACCUUCAUAUUUUAAAAACUGGAAAAUACUGGCUAAGUGAGGACUGGGCGGUCAUCCUCCACACAUGCUCUGUGUGCUUGGAGCGAAGAGGGGAACGCACUGAAUGAGAUGAACUGGAAGGAGGUGCAGCAGCGAAGGAAAUCCUUCUGUUGGGAGAGUUCACGUGUUUAGGAUAAUCCUUCGAAUAGGACGCAACAGUGAUGUGAGGAGAAGCUUUGGAGCUGAUUUAGAUUGAGACAGUCUAUCACAGGCUGUUUGGUUGCAUCCCUUUGGGGCCAGUCUCAUUUUAGGUCUAAAUAUGCAGGAAUGGGGCUCUGGCUUCCAGAAGUUUCAGGCUGCAAAAGGCUGGGGCCACCAUCUUUACAGAUAAUCCAUUAGUUUGAUUCUCUUGGGGGCCAGGAAGAAAACCAAGAACACUCAAUGGACUAUGGGACUCAAAUAAUCCACAGGAGGCGUUUGUAAAGGGGCAAAACUGUGUGUGCCCAGUAAUUCUUGGAGCUCGCAAUAGAGGUGGAGAAGCAGUGAUGGGCCCCACAGCAGCAGGGGCUUGGGAAUGACGGAAAAGAACAAAAUGAUGGAAGGACAGCUGGAAGAAACAGGGAAGCUUCCUUUUAACUGGAUGCUGGGUCUCAGCCUUGAAUAGUUCCUGGCCUUCGGAGGCCUUUUCUCAGGGAGCAUGGCCUGGGGACUCCCUGCUUGCUCUGCUGAGCUUUCAGGGAAGGAGAAAUGGGCAAGGCCAGAGGCGACCAUCAGGUGCUCCGUAGGCACAGAGGCAGAACUCAAGGUUUAGCUUUACCUUAAGAGGGUGACUGCAAAGUGUGCUCCCUGGACCAGGGGCCUCGGCCUCACCUGGGAGCUUGCUAAAAAUGCAAGUUGCUCUCACCCAGACUGAAUCUAAAAUUCUGGGUACAGCCCAGCAAUCUCUGCUCACACUUUCUCCAGAUGAUUCUGGUGCAAGCUAACCUUUCAAAAGUCCUGGGUCCCAUUCCCAGAGGCUGUGAUUAAGUUGGUCUAGGGCUGUGGCCUAGACCUGGGGAUUUUGGAAGCCCACAGGUGAUUCUGUUGUGCAGCCAUGGUUGGCAGGCUGUUCACGGUGCUGUUCAACAGGUCCUGCUGUGGGAUGGAAAGGGUCUGUAUCUGCACUGGCCAAUGUGGGAGCCAGCCCUGUGGCUAUUGAGCACUUGGCCCCUGGCUAGUGCAACUGAGGAGCUGAAUUUUUCAUUUCAUUUACUUUUAAUUAAGUUUAAAUAGCUAAAUGUGGCUAUUGUCUGCCUUAUUGGAUAGCAGAGUUCUAGAACCACAGAUAAAUGUAAUACUGUCCCUUUAGUUGAUUUAAAAAUCCAAUGCCUCUGUAAUCCUAGCACUUUGGGAGGCCAAGGUGGGCUGAUCACGAGGUCAAGAGAUCGAGACCAUUCUUGCCAACAUGGUGAAACCCCGUCUCUACUAAAAAUACAAAAAUUAGCCGGGCAUGGUGGCAGGCACCUGUAAUCCCAGCUACUCGGGAGGCUGAGGCAGGAGAAUCACUUGAACCCACGAGGCGGAGCUUGCAGUGAGCCAAGAUUGCACCACUGCACUCCAGCCUGGUGACAGACGGAGAUUCUGUCUCAAAAAAAAAUGCCUCACAGAGUUAAAUAUUUAAGUUGAUAAGAAAAAUGGUAGUCGAGUCUUUGAGGAUUAUUUUAAAAUCCACUUUUGGUGAUAAAUAGAUAAAAACAGUGUGGUAGGGCCCAGAAGUUCUUCCUGAUUUCUACCUGUUGGAGCUGAAUUCCUCAAUUUUACUUGUAGGAGAACGGCUUCCUAAAGGGCACCUUACCCAGCCAUUCCUGCAUGCAAGUGUGUAUGAGAACUGCAGGGGGCAUUAUAUGAAAAUCCAAUUCCUGGGCUCUAUCCCAGAUGUUCCUAUCCAAUAGGUCUGGGUUGGGGCCCUGGAAACUGCAUUUUUGGCAAACCCCUUACUGAUUUGGAUGCACAAGUUUCAAGGAACAGGCACUAAGGAUCGCUGAUGUAGAAUCUGUUUGUCCAUCCAGGAAAGCCAGAGUCACCACACUUGAGUAAAUGGGUUUUGAUGUAGGAAAGGUCUUUAUAAUUCUUUCAUGAAUUCACCAAACUUUAAAAACUGUACUAUUUUUGGCUGGGCUUGGUGGCUCACGCCUGUAAUCUCAGCACUUUGGGGGCCAAGGCGGGUGGAUCAUGAGGUCAGGAGAUCGAGACCAUCCUGGCUAACACGGUGAAAACCUGUCUCUACGAAAAAUACAAAAAAAAAAAAUUAGCCGGGCGUGGUGGCGGGUGCCUGUAGUCCCAGCUACUCAGGAGGCUGAGGCAGGAGAAUGGCGUGAACCC